rnacentral:rRNA from 1 species
GACGAACGCUGGCGGCGUGCUUAACACAUGCAAGUCGAACGGAAAGGCCCUGCUUUUUUGGGGUUCUCGAGUGGCGAACGGGUGAGUAACACGUGAGUAACCUGCCCUUGACUUUGGGAUAACUUCAGGAAACUGGGGCUAAUACCGGAUAGGAGCUCCUGCUGCAUGGUGGGGGUUGGAAAGUUUCGGCGGUUGGGGAUGUACUCGCGGCUUAUCAGCUUGUUGGUGGGGUAGUGGCUUACCAAGGCUGUGACGGGUAGCCGGCCUGAGAGGGUGACCGGCCACAUUGGGACUGAGAUACGGACCAGACUCCUACGGGAGGCAGCAGUGGGGAAUAUUGCACAAUGGGCGGAAGCCUGAUGAAGCAACGCCGCGUGCGGGAUGAAGGCCUUCGGGUUGUAAACCGAUUUCGCCUGUGACGAAGCGUGAGUGACGGUAAUGGGUAAAGAAGCACCAGCUAACUACGUG